GAGAGAGGCUCGCAAGCGACGAAAACUGCUAAUUUUCACUACCCUAGUUGAACUCCAGGGCUCACUCA
rnacentral:tRNA from 1 species